rfam:Myotis brandtii contig316768, whole genome shotgun sequence.
GUUCACUUAGGCAGCACGUACACUAAAACUGGAACGAUACAGAGAAGAUUAGCAUGCCCCUGCACAAGGAUGACACACAGAUUUGUGAAGCGUUUCAUAUUUCU